rnacentral:rRNA from 1 species
UACGAAGGGGGCUAGCGUUGCUCGGAAUUACUGGGCGUAAAGCGUGCGCAGGCGGUUCGUUGUGUCGGCGGUGAAAGCCCCGGGCUCAACCUGGGAAUGGCCGUUGAAACUGGCGAACUGGAGUGUGGCAGAGGGGGGUGGAAUUCCGCGUGUAGCAGUGAAAUGCGUAGAGAUGCGGAGGAACACCGAUGGCGAAGGCAGCCCCCUGGGCUAACACUGACGCUCAGGCACGAAAGCGUGGGGAGCAAACAGG